CGCAGGCGGGGCCGCGCCCGGCGGCGGGAGCGCGCUCGGCGGCGGGAGCUGCGGUCCCGCCGGGGCACGGCCAUGGAGCCCUCGCCCAAAGACGGCGAGAGCGCGGCGGCCGCCGAGCCCGGCCGGAGCGGCACGGCCCCGUCCAGCGGGGUGGUGGUGCAGGUCCGGGAGAAGAAGGGCCCCCUGCGCGCCGCCAUCCCCUACAUGCCCUUCCCCGUGGCCGUCAUCUGCCUCUUCCUCAACACCUUCGUGCCGGGGCUGGGAACGUUCGUGUCAGCGUUCACCGUGCUCUGCGGGGCCCGCACCGACCUCCCGGACCGGCACAUGUGCUGUGUCUUCUGGCUGAACAUCGCCGCCGCCCUCAUCCAGAUCCUCACGGCCAUCGUCAUGGUGGGCUGGAUCAUGAGCAUAUUCUGGGGCAUGGACAUGGUCAUUCUUGCAAUGCUAUUUCCCAGGCAUGGAAAGGGGGAAUCUGGUCUGAGGAUAAUGGCAAACUGUCCUUAAUGAGGGAAAAAGGAGAAGAAUUACAGGCCAAUCAGUCUCACAAGGCUACAAGGAACAGGGGAUCCCACAGCAGCUGUAGUGGCUGGGACAAGUAUGGUCAGAGAAACACGGCGACAGAUUUCCUUUGGCAGCCGUGGGCCACGGACCUUUUCAUUACCCUUUGUCUCUCUUCUUGUCCCCUUUGUUUUGUCUCCUUGUGUCUGCCCGGUUCACCUGCCCGUCCAGCGGAGCGGAGAUGCAGAGCAGCCGGCGCAGACUUGCACUGAUGCCCCUGAGCAGCGGAGAUGAGGCAAGCACGGCUUGGCUUGGACUGGUCCUGGCCAGCACGCGGGGGGCGGCCGACGAGGACGAGGGUGCCAGGACAAGGAAACACCCUUGGCGAAGGUGGCACCUAGGCAGGCAGCUGAACCAAGGGAGAGGGAGAUCCUGCCUUCCCUCUGCUCCCAGGGGGAGGUCGCUGAAGAUGUUUUGCCUCCUUUUUAUGCUUGCUGUUAAAGGACGCUGGCUGUGAACAUCAAAUGCCAAGGAGCUAUUCAUAGAUGUAUGUACAGGAUGUAAAAGCAAAACAGUGGCUCUUUUUUCCCCACCCUGAGAUUCCAUCCGUGACUGCUUUGCAGUAGUGGAGGGUCCAACCCAGGCUCCUCUGCUGUCUGUGUAUAUAUGAUGUUCACUGAAGCUCUGUCCCCACAGAUGUCUUGAGAAACGUGCUUGCUGUAAAUCAUAUUGUACCGCUGAAGUGACUGGGGCCAUCCCCUGCUUCCAUCCGCUGCCACCAUGCAAAGACCAGAGCUCCCACCAGCCCAGGGAACACUUUUCCUAGCACAGGACUGGUGUCCUGCAGCACCUCGCCUGUAGAGCAGCAAGUACUGCCAAAAGCCUCUCAUAUAAAACAGUACUGGGGAGUCAAAGAAUGAGACUUUUCCUGCCCCUGAAAGGGACUUGCUAGCAGUGUCUCCAUGCUUUGAAAAUGGAUCCCCUUAGAGCACAAUGAGUGCUCCUGGCUGAAGCAGCAUCCCAGCUCUGCUUCCCCAGGGUAAAAUUAACGACCCAGCGCUUUCACACCUCCUUCCGAAGCAUUGCAGAGGGGACAACGCCUCCACCGGGGCUGGAUAACUCCCCUCCCUCCCGUGGGAGCUGUGCCUGUGACCAGCUGCAAACAGCACAGCCAGAGGGCACAGCCCGAGCCCUUCCUGUGGUCCCAAGUGCAUGGCCCCCAGCUAUCCCAGCACCAUCACCUGCUUUGUAAAUGUAGAUGUUUGACAUGCAAGUUUUACAGCUAAAGAGUGAUGUGGGUAAUGAAGAAUAAAUGCAGUUGCUUCACCCCCAUCUGCCAGCAACACAGAAUUUUCUGCUGCUCCUUUCUGAUUGUGAAAACCAGGUUUCUCAAAACCAAAUCAAACCAAAACAACAACCAAAACCAAAAAAGGGCUUUAAUGAAAUAGCUUCUUGGUACUUGAACCCAGCUGGGCUGAACAACUGAUUUACUACUCAUUGGAAAGCAAUUCUAGGUAGGAACCAACUCAGUGAAAAAACAGCUUCAUCCUGGGUCAGCCCCCAUUGCAGCACAGGGCACAGGACCAUUUUCCCAAGUUCAUUGGUGUUGCCAAAUCCAUAUUUACCAUGGAGAAGAUGCUUUGGCGGGUGACUCCCACCCUCCCAGCCUUUUGCCUGGCUGGCCAUACUGUUCCUCUCAGCUGUGGCAGUCAGAGCAAAGAAGGUCACUGGGGCUUUGUGCUGGGAGCAGCUCUGGCACAUGGAGCCAUGGGGUCAGGAGAGUUAGAUGUGAGAGGGGACUCCACCUUCCCAGGACACAAAGCUGCAUGUCCCUCCUCCUGUGCACUGACUUUCAGACAUUUUAUUAAAGACCUUCCAGUUGUGCUGGAAAUUGCCCAUUAAGUCUUGCUGUUGUUGUGCUGAGCUCUGUGGACAGGAAGCUGAAGCUCACAGACCCAGUAUUCUUCAGAGGGCUGUUUUAUUCCUUGCCUCCUGCUUGUUCUGGGCUGACUCUGCAGUUCACAGACAUGCAUACACUCCAGCCAGGGUGCAUUUUAUUGCUACCCAGCCCAAACUGCAUCCACUGCAAGAUACCACCAGGAGUUCCUUGACAUCUAAACCCCAGGUACAAGGAGACCCUGGCUAGAUCUGACACUCCUCCCAGGUAAAAGCAAUGUCUUGUCCCACACACUUGCUAACCAUGGUGUGGCAACACAGCCCUGUAUUUUCCAGCUGACUUUGCUUCAUGCUCACACACACUAUGCACUUUGAAGCAGUGCUGCAAUUUAUUUCCCAAACUGGCCCUCAGCAUUCCCAUCCCCCUGUGGGAGCAGGAUGGUGCAAAACCACAGGUCACAGUGGCACCAUCUGAACCAGGGUUAAUUACAGUUUAUCCCACCAGAGUUCAUGCUACCCACAACCCAUCCUUCCUCCUCUUGUCAUCUGUACAAAUACCUAAGUCAGGCUAAAAGUCAAGUCCUGCUUCUCUUGCACCCACCCAACUGGCCAGAGGGAAGCAACAACGCCCUGUCCCCACUGCUGGAAUGGUGCAGUGGGAAGUGAAGGUUUUGUUCAGGCUCUAAGAAUGGCAAAGGCCAGAGUAGCUCAAUCCAUCUUCCAGCUCUGAGAAUGCUUUCAACAGGCAGGUGAAAGGGAAUGGCACAUUCUGGCCUGGGAUCAAAAUGGGCUCACCUCUACCAGCACUGCUGGAGGUGAUGGCAGUGCUCCCCCAGACACCCAGCAAGUGAUCCCACCCUGGCCCCUAUCUCUCCUUCAGCCACCACACACCGGCACAGGCACUGCUCCCAACGCUGGGAGGGAGAUUGCUGGCUCAAGUCUGUGUUCUCCUUGGUUUUGGCCAUGCAUGGGUACCUCAGAUUUUCCACCUUUGGAAGGAGGGAGCUGGGGCCUGCCCACCUGUGCUGCUUGCACCUUGCUGGUGAGCCCACCUUUCAUUUUCGUACUGGAGGCCAAACUGAGGGGUUGCAGAGGACCAUUUGUAUGCCUGUUUAUAUCACUGAGUAUUGGAUUGUGACUUCUUGUGUUUUGAUACUGUGGAUAUAUUUUUUUUUAAGUUAAAUAUAUUCUAUUGCUGAACAGCUGGAA